rnacentral:rRNA from 1 species
UACGAAGGGGGCUAGCGUUGCUCGGAAUCACUGGGCGUAAAGGGUGCGUAGGCGGGGUUUUAAGUCAGAGGUGAAAUCCUGGAGCUCAACUCCAGAACUGCCUUUGAUACUGAAAGUCUUGAGUAUGGGAGAGGUGAGUGGAACUGCGAGUGUAGAGGUGAAAUUCGUAGAUAUUCGCAAGAACACCAGUGGCGAAGGCGGCUCACUGGCCCAUAACUGACGCUGAGGCACGAAAGCGUGGGGAGCAAACAGG